rnacentral:rRNA from 1 species
AGCGAACGCUGGCGGCAUGCCUAACACAUGCAAGUCGCACGGGGGGGCUUCGGCCUCCCAGUGGCGGACGGGUGAGGAACGCGUAGGGACCUGUCGAGGGGUGGGGGAUAACCGCGGGAAACUGCGGCUAAUACCGCAUGACGCCGCGGCGUGACAGCCGGGGCCAAAGGCGAAAGCCGCCCGCCGAGGGGCCUGCGUCCGAUUAGCUGGUUGGCGGGGUAGCGGCCCACCAAUGCGUCGAUCGGUAGCUGGUCUGAGAGGGUGAUCAGCCACACCGGGACUGAGACACGGCCCGGACUCCUACGGGAGGCAGCAGUGGGGAAUAUUGGACAAUGGGCGCAAGCCUGAUCCAGCAAUGCCGCGUGGGUGAAGAAGGUCUUCGGAUUGUAAAGCCCUUUCGGCGGGGACGAUGGUGACGGUACCCGCAGAAGAAGCCCCGGCUAACUUCGUG